rnacentral:lncRNA from 1 species
UAAUAUAAACAAAACUUAAGCACUAUAAAAAUAUAAAGAGAGAGAGCAAGAACAUGAUCUUGAUCUGAAAACCAAGAUGCCUAAAUGCAUGGCAAAUGCCUCAAUUUAUAGGCCAAAAUUUGGAACUAUUGAUGUGAUGACUAAUUAUUGAGUGGGUGGCCACAUCUUGACUUGGUGACAAUCCUUAUCUUCUUGUCUGAACAAAACAUAAUUGCUAAUGUCAGAAUUUGAACAGAUUGUUCGCAUGAAAGUUCUAGGAAAUUGUCUCAGCUUUCCAACUUAAAAAAAAAUCGGUGCAUUUGGACUUCUAGAACUCAAGAUAUGGGCUGAACACUGAACAGUGUCUGGGCUGCAGGACAGAUUCUGACUUCUCCGUUGUUGCUAAGAUUUGGACUUCCAAACAGUAGAAUUGAGUCUUGGACUCCGCAUGAAUGUUUUAGGCCUAUGUCUUAGCUUUCUAGCCAUAUAAACCAAAUUGAAAUCCAAGAUCUACAGCUCCAGAUAUGACCUAAUGACUGAACAGUGUUCCUGUUUGGACUGAACCAACAUCUCUUUUCUAAGCUUGCCCCUCUCUUUGUCUUCUUAAUUUCAGUAGUUAAACUCAUCAACCAAUCCUUUGAUUUAUGUGACAGACCUGCAUUUAAGAUGAACAUUUACCAUAAAUUAAAGGUAUCUUAUAGUAUCAGACUUGUUAUUAUAAAACAUGCUUUAGUUAAGGAGUUAUUGAUACUUCAAGUGCAAAAUAAUGAUACAAAACCUUGAUAAAAAUGCACUUUUAAGUACUGAUCAUCCAUCUAUGACUCAGAUUAAAUAUUUAUGCUCAUGAAUAAAACUAUAUUUUGAAUUUAUUAUAAGCUCGUACGUCGAGAUAAAUCCUUAUAGGAAGAAUCCAUGUAGGUUCACCUAUCUUGGAAGGCAAAUGUGUUUCCCACAACUCGUAUAUUGUGGUGAAAAAUACUUCAUAUUAAAAAAGUUCUGAGAAUUUCCUAGUCAACUCUUGAUAUUUAAAUAUCAGUCUACUUAUAGGUUCAAUAUUUAUACCAGAAUAUUGACAAUUAAUUUUCAGAGAAAAAAGAAGAAGAAAACUUAGGGUUAUUGAAAUAUUGGUCAAAUCCAUGAGGAAUUUUAUAAACUUGUUGUAAAUUCUACAAAAAAUUCAAAGAAAUACAAAUUAUUUUCUAAAACAAUGCUAAACCACUUUUUCUCUGUUUUUUAUAAAUAAAAUGCAAUUUUUUAUAAGGAUUGGGUCGUAUGCAACAAGCGGAAAUCAUUUUUUUUUAUCAUAUGCAAUUAAAACAUUGUAUUAAUUAAAUUUGUUCCUUUUCCUUAUUUUUUAACAAUUAUUUAACACAAAAUAAAAUAAAAUAAAAUAAAAUGCAAACACACACACCCUUUUUUCACUAAUUACUCACACACCAAAAAAUUACACGUUUACAAAUCACCAAAAAAUCAAAUUCUAACAAUAAUUUAAAACACACUUAAAAUUAAAAAAAUUACAAAAUAGUUCUUCAAAAAGUUGAAAACAGGUUAGAGAGAUUGCUGGGAACUCAGGAAGCAUACUAGAAGCUUCUGAAAUUGCUGGAAUAGUGGUGGCAUGUGGGUCUCACACACCACCACCACUGGCAGCGCGUGGAACCACACAUCGUCACCUUUGAGAAGAGAAAUUUGAUGGAUUAGGAGAAAUCUUUCCUUCUCUUUCUUCAUGUGAUGACAGUGAAUCCCACUAUCAACUGCAAAACAAAAAAAAUCACAUAAUAUAGUCGAUUGAAUUAUUUCUUAUAUCUGUUCUUCCUGGUUAAUUAACUUCCUAUACUAUUUCUUCUUCAUAAGCCAUUGUGCCAAGGAGUAGUUGGUAAGACUAAAAAGGAAUGGGAUGGUUCAUGGUGCUAGUGGUGUUGCUUCCGUGUGUGGUGGUUGCUGCUACUCCUUUGCUAUUGUUGAUGGUUGAAGAUAGAUGACGAUGGUAGUAAAAAGAAGGAGCUAUGGUUCACAGCGCAAAAAUAGGCUGCCACGAGUAGUGUUGGUUUCAGUUGGUUGGGAGAAAAACUGUGAGGGGGAUGUUUUAAUGGUUACCGGCCCUGUGGGUGGUGACAACCAUGGGUGUUUGUCUUCCAAGGGUUGAUGUAGGACGGGCACGACUCUUGGUUUUGAGUGGUUGUCUUGAGAGUGUGUUUUGCUUUUGGGAUAGGGAAGAUGGUGCUUGGCCGUGAGGAAAAUAACCGAUGAUGAUAAAGAGAGAAGAUGUGUGGUAGCUAGCGAUGAGGAAGAAAAAAAUAAGAGUGAGGAGCAAUAUUUGUUGGUUGUUGCUUGGUUCUCGGGUGGUGGUGCUGCAUUGAUUACGGGUGAAGGGGGAGCCAAUAGUUUGACAAUGAUGAGGAAGAAGAUCGAUUGUGAUGGAAGGCCUGGUUCCUUUUAUUUCAAAAUGAGUCACCCUUUUUUUUAUGGUGGGGUGUGUUGGACCAGAAGGUCCAUGGCGUGGCACAAUGUCUUCAUCCUUUUAUCUAUGGCGGUUGGUGUUUUAAAAAUGGGAAACAUAAGGUUGUUAGGGUUUUUUUAAUGGAUGAGAGGUAGUAUUUGAAUAACUUAUUGAAUAUGCCAUUUCCC